rnacentral:misc_RNA from 1 species
AAGAAUUUGAAUGAAAUGUAUAUGAACUUCAUGGGGGAUAUCUGGAGGUAGGUGGUAAGUUAUUACUGCUUGGUUUCAGAUUCCUUUGAAUUCAUUGCAUUUCUUUAUAUUCAUACACGCACUACAUGGGAGACUGUGUAGUGUUACUAUUUAGAAUCAUAUUUUGUAUAUCAUUAGUCUUUUAAUUUUUUCGAGUUUUUUUAAACUUGAUAAAUAAAACAAAUUAA